UACGUAGGGUGCGAGCGUUGUUCGGAAUUACUGGGCGUAAAGCGCACGUAGGCGGCUUUGUAAGUUAGAGGUGAAAGCCCAGGGCUUAACCCUGGAAUUGCCUUUAAGACUGCAUCGCUAGAAUUGUGGAGAGGUAAGUGGAAUUCCGAGUGUAGAGGUGAAAUUCGUAGAUAUUCGGAAGAACACCAGUGGCGAAGGCGACUUACUGGACACAUAUUGACGCUGAGGUGCGAAAGCGUGGGGAGCAAACAGG
rnacentral:rRNA from 1 species